rnacentral:rRNA from 1 species
UACGAAGGGGGCUAGCGUUGCUCGGAAUCACUGGGCGUAAAGGGUGCGUAGGCGGGUCUUAAGUCAGGGGUGAAAUCCUGGAGCUCAACUCCAGAACUGCCUUUGAUACUGAAGAUCUUGAGUUCGGGAGAGGUGAGUGGAACUGCGAGUGUAGAGGUGAAAUUCGUAGAUAUUCGCAAGAACACCAGUGGCGAAGGCGGCUCACUGGCCCGAUACUGACGCUGAGGCACGAAAGCGUGGGGAGCAAACAGG